CAUGCCGUAAACUAUGCUUGCUAAGUGUCUUAAGAGACUUGAUCUCUGGGGUACUGUAACCUAACGGGUUAAGCAAGCCACCUGGGUAGUACAGUCGCAAGACUGAAACUCAAAGGAAUAGGCGGGGGAACACACAAGCAGUGGAUGAUCUAGAUUAAUUGGACAAUAAGCCAAAAACCUUACCUAGGUUUGACAUGUAUUUUGUCAUCGGGGAAACUCGGUUAGCGUAGCAAUACGCGGGAUACACAGGUGG
rnacentral:rRNA from 1 species